CCCUUAGAUGUUCUGGGCCGCACGCGUGCCACACUGAUGCAUUCAACGAGUCUAAAACCUGGUCUGAUAGGGCUGGGUAAUCUUUUGAAAGUGCAUCGUGAUUGGGAUAGAUGAUUGCAAUUCUUCAUCUUCAACGAGGAAUGCCUAGUAAACGCAAGUCAUCAGCUUGCAUUGAUUACGUCCCUGCCCUUUGUACACACCGCCCGUCGCUCCUACCGAUUGAAUGAUCCGAUGAAUACCAUGGAUUGAGAGUACGAAUAGGUUCGCUUAUUUCUGCUGCUCGAGAAGUGGAGUAAAUCUUAUCAUUUAGAGGAAGGAGAAGUCGUAACA
rnacentral:rRNA from 1 species